AUCUGCUCGCCCCGCCCAAGGUGUCUUGGGGCACGCGAAAUAAACCGAACCUGUUCACCCCAAGUCCCGUGCCACCUCCAUCUGUCCCCGCGCCGAUAACUGGAACUGUAGAGCAUUUACCGGGGGACCGGCCGCCCUUUCUCUUCCCCCGCCGCCCAGCAUGCCCGCGCUCGGGGUGUCGCGGUGAAAGGGGACCGCAACGCAACAAAUGGUAGCAAGAGGAUGGUUCCCUCCUUCGUCUUGUAAAACAAACGGGCAAAUUCGUGGGGGCGCCCGCCCCACGGAAGAAGAAGGAGGGAAGAGGAACAUCUGCGGUUGGAGAAGCUCUGCCGGACGCUAAGAGGAGCCGAGUGCCGAGCGAAAAGAAUUCGGCUCCAGGACCCUCCUUUGUUCUCGCCUCCGCGCGCUCUACCCCCCGCCGAGAUCAGACGUCCUGCACUGGGGCAGACGUGCUGCAGGGGCUUUGAAGGGGGGGUUAGACCUACCCCAGAACAAAGAGGGUGGUUUGGGAGCGGCUCAAGGGAGCCAGGAGAACGGCUCGUACAGCACCGGAACGAGACUACCAGAGGCCGAUAGUGGCCGAGCCCACAGCUUCAGGGACAAGUUUUGGGUGCAGCCGAGAUCGGCUGGACUUGCCUGCAAGUCCCGGGAACACCUAAGCCUCUGGAAGAGCCAAACCGAGAAGGAACGUCCCCAGUUCGGCGCGACUUUUCCACCAAGUUGAGGAGAAGAAUCAAGCCAUCUCCACCCGGGCCCCAGAGGAAAGAAAGAUCAUCCUUUUUAGUUUAUACCUUCGGUAUUAUGCCCACUCCGGAAAUAAAGAAUAAAAUCAGACAAGCCAUGUCGCCGCUCGCUGCUUCAACUCUGCUAUACAUCUCCAGCGCCACGACAGCCCAAGUUUCGAAUCAGAUCAAGCUGUGAAUCCUGCUGAAUGUUUUACCCCGAAUUCAGAAUUUGUUUAUGUCAAUUUUAUACGCUUUGUAUAUUAAUUUGUUUUAUUGUAAUUGUAAUUAAUUUGUACUUUUCUGAUGUUUUUCAACUUAUUUCUGUUUAACAAUUUGUAAUGUUACUAUAUGGUUUUGUUGUAUUUUACAUAUGAAGUUUAUAUUGUUUAUAUGCAGUAUUAAUUUGUUUAAAUGUCAGAAUUCUCCUUUCUUUUGUAAAAAGAAAAAGAGGGAGGUGCGGGAGUGUGUUCUUUAUUCUUUCAGUGUCUGUACACAACCCCCCCCCAUCUCACUCCUAACCCCCUUCUCUCCAAGAUGUGAAUCUCCCCUCCCCCUGAUUCUUUCCCUGCCCCCUUUAGUCCUACCCCAAACUCCUCCCCUGUUAUUCCCCUAUUGGUUGCUGUUCCUAUAAAACAUCUGCUCGCCCCCCCCAAGGUGUCUUGGGGCACGCGAAAUAAACCGAACCUGUUCACCCCAA